rnacentral:rRNA from 1 species
UUUCCGGUUGAUCCCGCCGGACCUGACUGCUAUCGGAUUGAUACUAAGCCAUGCGAGUCUUUGUAGUAAUACAAGGCAUACGGCUCAGUAACACGUAGUCAACCUACCCUAUGGACGAGAAUAAUCUCGGGAAACUGAGCAUAAUUCUCGAUAGAUCAUAAUGCCUGGAAUGGUUUAUGGUUAAAAUGAUUCGUCGCCAUAGGAUGGGACUGCGGCCUAUCAGCUUGUUGGUGAGGUAAUGGCCCACCAAGGCGAUUACAGGUACGGGCUCUGAGAGGAGAAGCCCGGAGAUGGGUACUGAGACACGGACCCAGGCCCUAUGGGGCGCAGCAGGCGAGAAAACUUUGCAAUGUGCGAAAGCACGACAAGGUUAAUCCGAGUGAUUUCUGCUAAAGAAAUCUUUUGCCAGUCAUAAAACCACUGGUGAAUAAGGGGUGGGCAAGUUCUGGUGUCAGCCGCCGCGGUAAAACCAGCACCUCAAGUGGUCAGGAUGAUUAUUGGGCCUAAAGCAUCCGUAGCCGGCCUUGUAAGUUUUCGGUUAAAUCCAUGUGCUCAACGCAUGGGCUGCCGAAAAUACUGCAUGGCUAGGGAGUGGGAGAGGUAGACGGUACUCAGUAGGAAGGGGUAAAAUCCUUUGAUCUAUUGAUGACCACCUGUGGCGAAGGCGGUCUACCAGAACACGUUCGACGGUGAGGGAUGAAAGCUGGGGGAGCAAACCGGAUUAGAUACCCGGGUAGUCCCAGCUGUAAACGAUGCAGACUCGAUGAUGCAUUGGCAUAAUAGCCAGUGCAGUGUCGCAGGGAAGCCGUUAAGUCUGCCGCCUGGGAAGUACGUACGCAAGUAUGAAACUUAAAGGAAUUGGCGGGGGAGCACCACAAGGGGUGAAGCCUGCGGUUCAAUUGGAUUCAACGCCGGGA